AGUGAACGCUGGCGGUAGGCCUAACACAUGCAAGUCGAACGGCAGCACAGUAAGAGCUUGCUCUUACGGGUGGCGAGUGGCGGACGGGUGAGGAAUACAUCGGAAUCUACUUUUUCGUGGGGGAUAACGUAGGGAAACUUACGCUAAUACCGCAUACGACCUACGGGUGAAAGCAGGGGAUCUUCGGACCUUGCGCGAUUGAAUGAGCCAAUGUCGGAUUAGCUAGUUGGCGGGGUAAAGGCCCACCAAGGCGACGAUCCGUAGCUGGUCUGAGAGGAUGAUCAGCCACACUGGAACUGAGACACGGUCCAGACUCCUACGGGAGGCAGCAGUGGGGAAUAUUGGACAAUGGGCGCAAGCCUGAUCCAGCCAUACCGCGUGGGUGAAGAAGGCCUUCGGGUUGUAAAGCCCUUUUGUUGGGAAAGAAAAGCAGCAGGUUAAUACCCCGCUGUUCUGACGGUACCCAAAGAAUAAGCACCGGCUAAUUUCGUG
rnacentral:rRNA from 1 species